rnacentral:rRNA from 1 species
UCGGNAUGAGUACACUUUAAAUCCUUUAACGAGUAUCCAUUGGAGGGCAAGUCUGGUGCCAGCAGCCGCGGUAAUUCCAGCUCCAAUAGCGUAUAUUAAAGUUGUUGCGGUUAAAAAGCUCGUAGUUGGACUUGUGUCCCGCGCUGUCGGUUCACCGCCCGUCGGUGUCUAACUGGCAUGGUUCGCGGGACGUCCUGCCGGUGGUGGCGAGUCGACGGGUCGCCCGUACUUCGGUGCGUUGGAGGCCUCGAGACGGACCCCGAUUGAAUCCUACCGCGGUGCUCUUUGUUGAGUGUCGAGGUGGGCCGGCACGUUUACUUUGAACAAAUUAGAGUGCUUAAAGCAGGCCGGUCGCGCCUGAAUACUGUGUGCAUGGAAUAAUGGAAUAGGACCUCGGUUCUAUUUUGUUGGUUUUCGGAACCCGAGGUAAUGAUUAAUAGGGACAGUCGGGGGCAUUCGUAUUGCGACGUUAGAGGUGAAAUUCUUGGAUCGUCGCAAGACGAACCGAAGCGAAAGCAUUUGCCAAGUAUGUUUUCAUUAAUCAAGAACGAAAGUUAGAGGUUCGAAGGCGAUCAGAUACCGCCCUAGUUCUAACCAUAAACGAUGCCAGCUAGCGAUCCGCCGAAGUUCCUCCGAUGACUCGGCGGGCAGCUCUCGGGAAACCAAAGCUUUUGGGUUCCGGGGGAAGUAUGGUUGCAAAGCUGAAACUUAAAGGAAUUGACGGAAGGGCACCACCAGGAGUGGAGCCUGCGGCUUAAUUUGACUCAACACGGGAAACCUCACCAGGCCCGGACACUGG